rnacentral:rRNA from 2 species
UAAAUACUAAUACCAGAUCGAUAGUGCACAAGUACCGUGAGGGAAAGGUGAAAAGAACUGAGGUGAUCAGAGUGAAAUAGAACCUGAAACCAUUUGCUUACAAUCAUUCAGAGCCCUAUGUAGCAAUACAGGGUGAUGGACUGCCUUUUGCAUAAUGAGCCUGCGAGUUGUGGUGUCUGGCAAGGUUAAGCAAACGCGAAGCCGUAGCGAAAGCGAGUCUGAAUAGGGCGCUUAGUCAGAUGCUGCAGACCCGAAACGAAGUGAUCUAUCCAUGAGCAAGUUGAAGCUAGUGUAAGAACUAGUGGAGGACUGAACCCAUAGGCGUUGAAAAGCCCCGGGAUGACUUGUGGAUAGGGGUGAAAGGCCAAUCAAACUUCGUGAUAGCUGGUUCUCUCCGAAAUAUAUUUAGGUAUAGCGUUGUGUCGUAAUAUAAGGGGGUAGAGCACUGAAUGGGCUAGGGCAUACACCAAUGUACCAAACCCUAUCAAACUCCGAAUACCUUAUAUGUAAUCACAGCAGUCAGGCGGCGAGUGAUAAAAUCCGUCGUCAAGAGGGAAACAACCCAGACUACCAGCUAAGGUCCCUAAAUCUUACUUAAGUGGAAAACGAUGUGAAGUUACUUAAACAACCAGGAGGUUGGCUUAGAAGCAGCCAUCCUUUAAAGAAAGCGUAAUAGCUCACUGGUCUAGUGAUUUUGCGCGGAAAAUAUAACGGGGCUAAAGU